UGCAAGUCGAGCGAACUGAUUAGAAGCUUGCUUCUAUGACGUUAGCGGCGGACGGGUGAGUAACACGUGGGCAACCUGCCUGUAAGACUGGGAUAACUUCGGGAAACCGAAGCUAAUACCGGAUAGGAUCUUCUCCUUCAUGGGAGAUGAUUGAAAGAUGGUUUCGGCUAUCACUUACAGAUGGGCCCGCGGUGCAUUAGCUAGUUGGUGAGGUAACGGCUCACCAAGGCAACGAUGCAUAGCCGACCUGAGAGGGUGAUCGGCCACACUGGGACUGAGACACGGCCCAGACUCCUACGGGAGGCAGCAGUAGGGAAUCUUCCGCAAUGGACGAAAGUCUGACGGAGCAACGCCGCGUGAGUGAUGAAGGCUUUCGGGUCGUAAAACUCUGUUGUUAGGGAAGAACAAGUACAAGAGUAACUGCUUGUACCUUGACGGUACCUAACCAGAAAGCCACGGCUAACUACGUGCCAGCAGCCGCGGUAAUACGUAGGUGGCAAGCGUUAUCCGGAAUUAUUGGGCGUAAAGCGCGCGCAGGCGGUUUCUUAAGUCUGAUGUGAAAGCCCACGGCUCAACCGUGGAGGGUCAUUGGAAACUGGGGAACUUGAGUGCAGAAGAGAAAAGCGGAAUUCCACGUGUAGCGGUGAAAUGCGUAGAGAUGUGGAGGAACACCAGUGGCGAAGGCGGCUUUUUGGUCUGUAACUGACGCUGAGGCGCGAAAGCGUGGGGAGCAAACAGGAUUAGAUACCCUGGUAGUCCACGCCGUAAACGAUGAGUGCUAAGUGUUAGAGGGUUUCCGCCCUUUAGUGCUGCAGCUAACGCAUUAAGCACUCCGCCUGGGGAGUACGGUCGCAAGACUGAAACUCAAAGGAAUUGACGGGGGCCCGCACAAGCGGUGGAGCAUGUGGUUUAUUUCGAAGCAACGCGAAGAACCUUACCAGGUCUUGACAUCCUCUGACAACUCUAGAGAUAGAGCGUUCCCCUUCGGGGAC
rnacentral:rRNA from 2 species